CAAGGGAACAGCUAUCCUCAUUCGAUAUCUGACUCUCGGACCAGUCGCUUCGACUUCUAAAUUCUUCUAAAUUCCAAAUUUAUUUUCUCGAGUAUAACUCCACCAAAAAACGCCAAGCAAACUCAACAUGUGCAACGGAUGUGGAUGCUGUGGACCCUCUCCUUGCCCCAGGCGUUACCUUGUGAACAAGGAUAACGCGCCCUGUGUGUGGUGUGCUCCGUGCAAAGCCCACUGCUACAACACUCCGCCAAAAUGCUGUUGCUAGUUUCUCUAUUUGGGAGCUACCUACUCUGAUCCUAAAUCCUUUCCACUUACAUCGCGUGUGGCUUCUAAGCGGCUCUGUGACUACGGACGACCCACGUAAACGGCGGAACUGAAACUGAGAGCCGUUGGUCAUGUUGUGUAACGCGUAUUGGUUGGAAACUCGAUCGGAUGCAGAUUUCAUCACGAUGCAGACUUUUAGGCUUUAAAUUUUAAUAAAUAUAAGAAAUCGAA
rnacentral:misc_RNA from 1 species